rnacentral:rRNA from 1 species
UUUCGGAUCGUAAAGCUCUGUUGUUAGGGAAGAACAAGUGCGAGAGUAACUGCUCGCACCAUGACGGUACCUAACCAGAAAGCCACGGCUAACUACGUGCCAGCAGCCGCGGUAAUACGUAGGUGGCAAGCGUUGUCCGGAAUUAUUGGGCGUAAAGGGCUCGCAGGCGGUUUCUUAAGUCUGAUGUGAAAGCCCCCGGCUCAACCGGGGAGGGUCAUUGGAAACUGGGAAACUUGAGUGCAG